CCUUCACGGCCCCUCCACAGUUCCACCCCUUCCCGAUGGCCCCUCCCACCUCUCAGAGUUUGCUCCACCUCCCCCGCCCAUCCUGGGGACGGGGCGGCUCAUCAGCCCUUUGAUUCCGGCGCACGCGCCUACAGGGGAGGCAGAAAGUUCUCGCGAUACUAGGGAAUCCUGAUGCUCGUGGUGUCCGGCCGACUGGGAAGGUGAAGUUUUGUUUCCUGGUUGCUUUAGGGUAGUUAACUUUUGAGGUUGCCAUAGUUACCGAAACACCAACUUGUAUAGUUCUCCGCUUCUAAACCUUUAGGUCAAUCACAGCUGUCAUGUGGAGGAAGCAAGGAAACCUGGCAACUGCAAGGAUGAACUGGAAUCCAUGAGAAUGGAGUGGAAUCUGCAUUGAUUUCUCCCUGGUUCCAAGGGUUCAACUUUGAUGAGAGAGGUGAUCUGCAGGAGGAGCUGGUCCUUCGUCACAGACCCAUGAGUUACAGAAGUUGAAACGGGAUCUGUCAGGAGUUGAAGAAGGUGGUCAUGACAAUGGACAUGAAGUGAGGGUGACCUCUGGGCCUCAGCUGUCAUUUGUCCUAUGCUGGCUUUGGGUGAACCUUCUCAAGUUCCAUCUUUGUGUUGAACAACAAGGAAGAUAGAAAAGGAUCUCUGAGAUCAUCAUUUUCCAGUAAGCUCUACACCUGAUGUGGGGCUUGAACUUGUGAUCCUGAGAUCAAGAGUUGCAUGCUCUACCGACUGAGCCAGCCAGCAUCCGGAACCGGCAGCCCAGCACAGAGCAGGCAUGAGACUAACAAUGGAACUCUUCUGGGCAACACUGUCAUUAAGAGACAUGUGACAAUUUCCAAAGAAUGCUCCUUUUAGAAACAAGAAAAAGAAAACAAAAAAACCACCUUUUACCUUAAGGAUAAUGAAGUGAUUCCUUAAAAAUAAAGACAGCAUUAAGGAAAACAGUCUUUCCAUAAAAAUCAAAAAUAUUUUGAGGAAUCUUUCACUACUUAAAUGAAAUUCAAUUCAAUGGCCUAAGAGGUCAUCAGUGAGAAAUGUUUCAUUUCUAAAGAAAAGUUUUACUUCAAACAAUCAGAUAUAACAUAAAAACAAUACUUAUAAGAAUUAUAUACUUUUAGGUAUCCAACCUAUUCAAACUUCUAAAAAAAAAAAUGUAGGAAGACAGAACUCUCUUGGCAUGGACCUGUUGCUUUAGUGUAAUAAGAUCAAGUGGCAAAGAAAAUAUUUCAUAAUAUUUCAUAAUAAGUAAACAUUAACCUAAGAAAACUUGAAGGGAAAAUGGAAUGCAAUUCACUAGUGGAUCUUGGAAUAGUGUCUCUAUCAUAUUAAUAAGACAUGUUUAUAUAUUGACUACGAAUAGAGCUUGUUCCCAUUUUCAUCUUACUGUUAUUAUACUCAAUUCUCAAGUCCUUAUAAAUCCUCACUCUAUCAUAGAAAAUACUUAAGUAAGAAAACUCAUCACUGACUUUCUUGAGGAAUCAAAUAGGAAAGGUCUAAUGCAGAAUAGUCUCUCUAAAAAGGAAGAAAAUGGACAAACUAGAAGAAUGUGAAAAAAAUAACAUUAUUGCUGGGUAAAUUUUGGGGUUCUUUGGAAGGUUACUGGUUGGAAAGUUUUCUCUGGGUAGUAAUAUUAGUUUGAGAAAAAUGAAUUCAAUUUAAGAAGGAGAAAAAUCAGUUAGAUUCAAGUUUAAUAACACUUGAUUUAGAAUGAGUGUUUGUGUGUGUGUGUGCAAAUAGACAUACAAGAUUCUACGUUCUAACUCCAUAGUGACAGAAAUCCCUUUAGUUUAUUAAAAAUAACAAAACAAAAAGAUUUGGGAUAAUAAUAGCAUUUGAUUAUGUUAGCAACUUCUUAGGAUUCCAUAAUGGAAAUAUUAACUUGGGUUAUUUCACUGGAAAGCUGAAUAAGAUUAGAACUUUAUUUUCUUUACAGAUUUUGUUCACUAUAUUGAGUUCAUUUGAAAGUCCUCAGAAGGGGCGCCUAGGUGGCUCAGUUGGUUAAGCGGCUGCCUUCGGCUCAGGUCAUGAUCCUGGGGUCUUGGGAUCGAGCCCCACAUCCGGCUUCCUGCUCGGUGGAGAGCCUGCUUCUCCCUCUCCAUCUGCUUGCCACUCUGCCUACUUGUGCUCUCUCUCCCUGUCAAAUAAAUAAAUAAAAUCUUUAAAAAAAAAAAAAAAAGAAAAGAAAGUCCUCAGAAAUUUCACCAGCCUGGACUAGUCCUAAACAUUAUCUCAACUCUGGCUUGAAUGGGACUUCUCAAUUCAGUCUGGUAAUCCUUGUAGGAAGCUGUCCAUCAUUCAUAUGAAAGAAUAAAUGUGCCUGUUUAAACAAUCAAUUUUCUAGAAUUUCAGUCAAAUGUUCAUAUACUGCCAAAAGUCUUUUUUUUUUAACUUUUCAAAUUUUGCAUCAUCCAGAAAUGCCUCAAAAUAUUAGGUUAUAUAGUCAAAAGUGCUGAAUACUAAAUUAGUAUUUUAACAUAAAUGUAUGGUAGGCAAAAUCUCUAACUUCAUGCUUUUAAAAUUCUUGAAAAUAUCCCCACCUAUAUUUCAUAAACAGACUCAACAGCUUGGUUUGGAACAUUUUGCCCUUUAUGAUGCAAAACUUCUCUUUUCAAAAUUGUAAUUUUUAGUUUUCUAAAUUAUAUAGUACAGUGGUGCCUUUUAGAAUAAUUAAUAAGGUCUCUCAGUGGUACACCUUCUGUGAAACAAACAAAUCUAGCCUCUAUAGCAGUCCUUGAAAAGGCCUUAGGUAACAAAUAGCAGACAUUUAAGGAGCAGUUCCGAACAUAAAUGCAUUUUGUAAAUCAUUGAGAAAACUUUUGCUAGCAGGAUUUACAGAACAUAGGAAAUACACAUUCUGGGACGUAGGAAGUUUAGAACAGCCUCGAUCUGAGGAAGGUGACACCGAAACUGCUCAGUUUUAACUUUAAAGACUAUUGAUCCUGACAUAUGAAAUGUCACCUUGAGUAUGAAGUUUCAAACUAAACAGGAUGAAGCCUAAUAAAUAGCUUAGUACAUCACAUGAUGUGGCAUCAGAUGCUGGCAAAACUUUUGCUCUUUACAGUGUUGGGUGAACAGUGACAAACAGAACACCAUGAGGGAAAUUACUGUAUUAUAUUUUAAUAUAAGAGGAAGAAGAACAUGGCUUAACAUAGACAAAUGCACAUGUAUGUAUUGUACUAUGCAUAAAAGAUACUUGAAUGUGCUGUGGUGUACUGUGUUUUAGAGACACAAGUUGGUGAGCAUAGGGUAGGAGUGUCUGCACUCAUCAAAAAGGAAGGCUGGAGGCAGCAGUGGAUGGGAUUUUAUAAUAGAAAUCACUAGAUCAUUAGCUGAGGUUGUCGCUGGCUGGCGAGCAGGUGGCUUGUUUCAUGGGAACUGAUUUGGGAAAUAAAAGCUUUUCAAAGAAACCUGUUCAUUGUGCUUAAAUAUGUGUACUUAUAGAAAUUGUAAAUGGACAUUUAUGCCAAUUACAAACAAUUGCUAAUCAGUGCAUAUCUCCAAAUAUACAGAAUUUUAAAAAUGUAUUCUACAAUUAAUUUGAAGUGAAUGAUAAAGAUGAAUAGCCCAACAAUCUUGGGACUCUUCCCAAAUUUUGCUUGAGUUUGAAACCAGUAAAAUGUUUGGGUAGAAAGAUUACAUUCGUGUAAAUAAAGAAGACUCUGGAAAUCCAGGUAAGUUGUUUCUAAAAAGUAAACACAUAGAUUUUUCAAAUUAUAACAAAAUUCUGGUCAAUAUGGUAAGCCAAGCUAAUAUAGAAAGACAACCCCACUCACUGCAAAUACAUAUAUUGCCACAUACAUACAUGUUAGGUAUAAUAAAAUACUUUCAAACUCUACAGUUAGUUUUUCAAAUAAGAAAAGGAGUGAACAAUUUCUAGAACUAAAAGGUAACUAGAAGAUAAUUUGGUCAAUGUUAGCCAAAGCAGGAAACAGAAAGCUAUAAAAAUCAAGCAAAGGCCUUUGAGGUUGUGGUUUUAAUGCUCAAAGAGAAAUGAAGAACAGUGUCUCAAGUUUGUACAAUAUGGGGAACAGGUGUAUUCCCGAGUAAAUCAGGGAUCCACUGACUAUCCCAUCCAGGGGUAGGUACCUGAGCAGCUGUGCCUACUGACAUUGGGAAGCUGCAUGUAGGUACCCGUCUAAGUUGGGAUAUGAAAGGAUAAAGAUUCAUUGAGGAGGUAUCUGAAUCUCAAGCUUGACUCAUAGCUAUGGGGCCUGAUACAAUGCUACCUACAUGGUUCUGGAAAACUGAGCUGAGAAAUUGGCAGAAAACUGAUUCAGAACAGUUGAAACUCACAGGGUCCUAAUAAAAACAACUUGAAAUCUGGCCUGGACAAACCAGUAUUUGGGGAGUGCCUAUCAAAAACAGUCCUCAUUAAGGGGUGCCUGGGUGACUCAGUUAAGUGUCAGACUUGUCAGAUUUCGGGCUCAGGUCAUGAUCUCAGGUUCACGAGAUCAAGCUCAGUGUCGCGUGGUCUCUGCUUGUGAUUCUCUCUCUGCAUCUCCCUCUGACUCUGCCCUCCACACAUGCAACUCUCUCUCACUCUCUCUAAAAAAAAGGAAACAAUCCUCAUUGAAAAUGAGUUCAUAAUCGGAAAUUAUAAACCAUGUAUGAUAAAGACUAGAGAAUUUACAUGCUGUGAGCUAGAGAUAAGAAGAAAUACAAAAUAAUGUGUUGAAAAUAUUUAAUAAGAUUCAAGAUAAUUCUGAUGAUCUGGCAUACUUGAUGUCUGGAUAAACCAUUCCUGAACAGAACACCUAACAAUUCUGGAUGAUAUACUUAAAAUAUGUUUUUAAAUGCAUUACUGAACUGGUAGGAGGUAAGAAAGAAAUUGUAAUGGCUGCAUAUAGCCAGAUAUGACUAAUCAGAGGUCAAAAAUUAUGAUAAACGUGAAUCUGAAAAGUUAAGGACAAAAUCUGGCAUUUGCCCUAAGGCAUCUGCCCAUCUGUCUGGUAUGUGUUUUUUACUUUUUACGUAGCGAAAAUCACACUAUUCAAAUGCAAGAAUACUGACUGUUUGAAGGCACAGUGCAUAUUUAUUACAUGACAAAAGAAAAGAUGAGCCCCUUAACAACUGUUAGGUUGAUGAAAUCGUAGCAUUGGUAAGGUUUUAGUCAUCCUGAAUAAG